CUGACAUCAGCAACAUUUGCCAACUGCCAGAGCCUCUACAGGCAUCAUCUGGGUCUGUGGGUCACAAGGAAGCUGUAAAAUCAUCACCCCUUUCUGUGGCGUGUGUUCCACGAACUUAAAGGUGUGUCCUAGAUGCAGAUUAGGAGUGACCACAUACUGCUCAUUAAUAUUUGCAUGCGAUGGACUAAAAUAGCCAAUUGUUCACUGCUUAUGAAGUUCUAAGCUUACAGGUCAACCUCAGCUACACUACCAAUAGCUGUCUGAAGUGUGGGUCCCUUGUCAAGGGGCAGUGGAGAAAUUUGCACGUUUUGAGCAGCACAGUUCAGCUGAGAGCCAUUCGGAUAUGAGGACACAGAGGCUUCCAGUCUGAGGAAACAAGAUCAGCUGAGAAGUUGGCCAGAACAGAGGCCUGAAGAUUCAGGAAGGGUGGAUGGUGUUUAGAUCAUAUGGAACCAAUCUUCCAUGACAAGAAGCUAGAUGGAAACAAGACCUCAGGCCUUUCCUGCAGCAUCAGCUGGGAUCCCUCCUGUGUGCCCCAAAGAGGCUUGGUCUAUUUUCACUUCCAUCUUCCAUCUUUUUCAUGAGUAUUACAUAGCAAGUCCAUAGAAAAGCUUUUGUUAAUGCAUGCAAAUUCUCCUUAUUUGGAGGCAUUGAGAGAUUCUGUAACCUUACAGCUGCCUACUUCAAACUCAUAGCAAUUUUUUCAUGUGUGGGCAUUCUGGACGUCUGUGUACCAUAUGUGUGCCUGGUGUAUGCAGAGGCCAGAAAAGGGUGUUGGAUCUCCUGGGACUAGAUUUAGAGAUGGUUGUGAGCUGAACCUAGUUCCUCUGGAAAAGCAGCCAGUGCUCUUUACUGCUCAGCCAUCUCUCCAGUCCCUUUGAUUUUUAAAGACGUGUAUUUAUUUGUCUCACGGCACACAUGUGGAAGUCAGGUGACAACUUGUGGAGGUUGAUUCUCUCCUUCCAUCAUCAGGAGGAUUCUGGGCAUCAAAGUUAGGUUAUCAGGCUUAUGUUGCAAGCACCUUUACCUGCCAGGCAGUGGCACAGCUUUUCAUAGCGACACCAAGGCCUUUGGGUGCACCUUUCUUCAGGAAGGCUAAAACCAGUCAAUCUGAAGGAUUUUUAAGACCCUCCAAAGCUCAGAAAUGUGAAGUCAUUUAGAAUGAACUUUCUGUAUUCUGUUGACUCUCAAGUCAGGCACAGAUGUCUGCUUGGUGGGUGGACUGUGCGUGGCAGGCAGACUUGAAUCAAAGCUUAAGCAAUGAGUUUGGAUUGUAACAUUUCCUUUUCCAAAAGAAAUUACCGUAUUACACCCAUAAAAUCCUUUCUCCCGGAGAUGGGAUAAGCAGGUGGCUGCAAUUUGUAUCAAUUAAAUGAUGACCUCAUUUCUGUAAUUUACAUUUUUUUCUUCCUUAAUGGUAGCUUUUUAGCAAAACUGCUGAUGGAUAGGAUUUUUAUGACUUCUUUUUUUUUCUGUGUCUAUCAUCUUUUUUGCACUAAUUUGGAAAGUUUUGGUAAGAAAUGCAAGCAUCAUCUACUGGACUUUAAGAACAAAGCAUGAAUACAUUUCAUUUUACUUGAGGAGGAAAAAGUUACAGCCAAGUGGAGUCCUGUGGAGAUUAUGAAGAUGGACGCUCUGACUCUGAAAUUUGAUCUUGUACAAUUUCUGUCUGUCAGAUCCUGGGCUAUCUUUACAGCUAAAGUCUUUCCUGAAGUAAAUGAAAUUUGGAAAUUUUCAGCUGAUGGAAGAGUAAUUGGGUGGGAGCUAAGGCAAGAGGCUGAUGCAAAACUGAGAGGUUUAUUUACAAAUAAGGAUGAGAAUGUGCGUGCAUGUGUGUAUGUGUGUGUACAUGUGAAUAUGCACGUUAUGUUCAUGUGUGUGCACCUGUGUGUCCAUGUGUGUGUGUGUGCGCGUGUGUGUCUAUACACAUGGAAGCCAGAGGACAACCCCAAGUAUUUCUCAGGUGCGGCCCAUUGCACAACACUAUGACUGUUGUUUGUUUUAGCAUGGGCUCUGGGGAUUGAAGUAAGUCCUCAUCCUUGCAGGGAAAUACAAAAACUACCACCUAAGCUAUCUUCAAAUCCAGAGAACUUACUUGAAAAAGUAUAUGGUGUAUUCAUUCUAUGUAAGGUAUACUAGUGUUUUGCCUUUAUGUAUAUUUGUGCACCACUUAUACGCACAGUGUCCAUGGAGGCCAGAAGAGGCCAUUGGCUCCCCUGGAACUGGAAUUACAGAUGGCUGUGAGACAACAUGUGGGUUCUGGGAAUCAAACUCAGGCCCUCUGGAAGAGCUGCCGGUGCUCGUAACCAAUUAGCCAUCUUUCCAGCCCCUCCCCCCAAUAAUUUACUUUCAAGAGACUAAUUCCAGAACAACUUGAGGUUCAUAGCAAAACUGAGGAGAGAGUCCAGAUAUUUCCCAGAAAACCUACUACCUUCCAGACAUCACAAGUGUCUAAAGGAGGAAAGACGUAGCAAACCUUCCCUCCUUAUCAAUACAUCCCACCGGAGGAUGCUCAGUGAGGAUCAAUGACUAUGCACUGCCUUAUCACUGCCCCCACCACCUGAGGUGUACAGUGGAGUUUAUCCUUGGAGUUAGCACUUCAUAAGUUUGUGCAGAUGUAUGAUGACAUAUGUCCACCCACAUGGUGUCAAGCAGAGGAGAUUUAUUGCCCUGAGCACCCCCACCCCCACCCCCUUGCACUUGCUCAUUCUUCACUCAGCCCCAAACUCCUGACAACCACCCACCAUCUUAAUGUCUUUUCUCAUUUUUCCUUCUCUGGAAUAUCAUUCAUUAAAACACAUGCCAAGUAACCUUUUCAGGUGGCUCCUUCCCUGUAGUAGUAAAGUUGCAAAGGCUCUUCCAAAUGCCAU